rnacentral:rRNA from 1 species
GUCCUUUUGUUUAUUAAUUUAAGGUCUGGCCUGCCCACUGAAAUUUAAAUGGCCGCAGUAUUUUGACUGUGCAAAGGUAGCAUAAUCAUUAGUUUUUUAAUUAAAAGCUUGUAUGAAGGGUUGGACGAAGUAAAAUCUGUCUCUAUUUAAUUUAUAAUAGAAUUUAAUUUUUAAGUUAAAAAGCUUAAAUAUUAUUAAAAGACGAGAAGACCCUAUAGAUCUUUAUAUUUAAUUUAUUAAUUUUAAUAUAGAAAAUUUUCUUUUUUAAUAAAAAAAAUAUUUUAUUGGGGUAAUAAAAAGAUUAAAAUAAUUCUUUUUUUAUAAUAACAUUUAUUUAUGAAUAUAUGAUCCAAAUUUUUUGAUUAUAAGAUUAAGUUACCUUAGGGAUAACAGCGUAAUUUUUUUUGAGAGUUCAUAUCGAUAAAAAAGUUUGCGACCUCGAUGUUGGAUUAAAAAUUAUCUUAGGUGCAGAAGUUUAAGAUUUUGGUCUGUUCGACCAUUAAAUUUUU